ACCAUGCGGCGUGCUAAUACAUGCAAGUCGAGCGAGUGAAUUAAUUGAUCCCUUCGGGGUGACGUUAAUGGAUCUAGCGGCGGACGGGUGAGUAACACGUGGGCAACCUGCCUGUAAGACUGGGAUAACUCGCGGAAACGCGAGCUAAUACCGGAUAACACUUCGAACCACAUGGUUUGAAGAUGAAAGGCGGCGCAAGCUGUCACUUACAGAUGGGCCCGCGGCGCAUUAGCUAGUUGGUGAGGUAACGGCUCACCAAGGCGACGAUGCGUAGCCGACCUGAGAGGGUGAUCGGCCACACUGGGACUGAGACACGGCCCAGACUCCUACGGGAGGCAGCAGUAGGGAAUCUUCCGCAAUGGACGAAAGUCUGACGGAGCAACGCCGCGUGAGUGAUGAAGGUUUUCGGAUUGUAAAACUCUGUUGUUAGGGAAGAACAAGUACAAUAGUAACUGAUUGUACCUUGACGGUACCUAACCAGAAAGCCCCGGCUAACUACGUGCCAGCAGCCGCGGUAAUACGUAGGGGGCAAGCGUUGUCCGGAAUUAUUGGGCGUAAAGCGCGCGCAGGCGGUCCUUUAAGUCUGAUGUGAAAGCCCACGGCUUAACCGUGGAGGGUCAUUGGAAACUGGAGGACUUGAGUGCAGAAGAGGAGAGUGGAAUUCCACGUGUAGCGGUGAAAUGCGUAGAGAUGUGGAGGAACACCAGUGGCGAAGGCGACUCUCUGGUCUGUAACUGACGCUGAGGCGCGAAAGCGUGGGGAGCGAACAGGAUUAGAUACCCUGGUAGUCCACGCCGUAAACGAUGAGUGCUAGUGUUAGGGGUUUCCGCCCCUUAGUGCUGAAGUUAACGCAUUAAGCACUCCGCCUGGGGAGUACGGCCGCAAGCUGAAACUCAAAAGAAUUGACGGGGGCCCGCACAAGCGGUGGAGCAUGUGGUUUAAUUCGAAGCAACGCGAGACUUACCAGGUCUUGACAUCUCUGACACCCUAGAGAUAGGCUUUCCCUUCCGGGACGGAUGACAGUGUGCAUGCUGUCGUCAGCUCAUGUCGUGAGAUGUGGUAGUCCGGCACGAGCGCAUCUGGUCCUAGUGGCAGCAAUAGUUGGCACUUCUAGAA
rnacentral:rRNA from 1 species